AACGAACGUUAGCGGCGCGCUUAACACAUGCAAGUCGAACGAGAAAGUUCCCUUCGGGGAGCGAGUACAGUGGCGCACGGGUGAGUAACACGUGGGAAUCUACCCUAUGGUGGGGGACAACAUCCCGAAAGGGGUGCUAAUACCGCAUGAGUCCACUUCGGUGGGGAAAGGCGGCUUCGGCUGUCGCCAUUGGAUGAGCCCGCGGCCCAUCAGCUAGUUGGCAGGGUAAUGGCCUACCAAGGCAACGACGGGUAGCUGGUCUGAGAGGAUGACCAGUCACACUGGAACUGAGACACGGUCCAGACUCCUACGGGUGGCAG
rnacentral:rRNA from 1 species